rnacentral:misc_RNA from 1 species
UUAACUAUUAUAUAUUACUCGGACAACACAAAAAUCAAGAGUUUAGGGUUCUCUGGCAGGCACGGACCAGCCUAAGCCAGUGGUCAUAAGACGGGCCUGCCAAAGCAACAAAGGUAAUAUAAACAAAGGGUGGGAGAUCUACCCCAAAGGGCAAUUUCUCUGUAAUGAUCCUUCCGCAGGUUCACCUACGGAAA